rnacentral:rRNA from 1 species
GACGAACGCUGGCGGCGUGCUUAACACAUGCAAGUUGAACGGAAGGGCCCUGCAUUUGUGGGAUGCUCGAGUGCCGAACGGGUGAGUAACACGUGAGUAACCUGCCCUUGACUUUGGGAUAACUUCAGGAAACUGGGGCUAAUACCGGAUAGGAACUCCUGCUACAUGGUGGGGGUUGGAAAGUUGCGGAGGUUUGGGAUGGACGCGCGGCUUAUCAGCUUGUUGGUGGGGUAGUGGCUUACACAGGCUUUGACGGGUAGCCGGAUUGAGAGGGUGACUGGCCACAUUGGGACUGAGGAGCGGCCCGGAGUCAUACGGGAGGCAUGGGCGGGGAAUAUUGCAAAAUGGGCGGCAGCCGGAUGCAGCAACGCCGCGUGCGGGAUGACGGUCUGCAGGGUGUAAACCGCUUUCGCCUGUGACGAAGCGUGAGUGACGGUAAUGGGUAAAGAAGCACCGGCUAACUACGUG